rnacentral:rRNA from 1 species
AGAGCGAACGCUGGCGGCAGGCCUAAUACAUGCAAGUCGAACGGAUCCUUUGGGAUUAGUGGCGGACGGGUGAGUAACACGUGGGAACGUGCCCUUUGGUUCGGAACAACUCAGGGAAACUUGAGCUAAUACCGGAUGUGCCCUUCGGGGGAAAGAUUUAUCGCCAUUGGAGCGGCCCGCGUCUGAUUAGCUAGUUGGUAGGGUAAAGGCCUACCAAGGCUUCGAUCAGUAGCUGGUCUGAGAGGAUGAUCAGCCACACUGGGACUGAGACACGGCCCAGACUCCUACGGGAGGCAGCAGUAGGGAAUCUGCGCAAUGGGCGAAAGCCUGACGCAGCCAUGCCGCGUGAAUGAUGAAGGUCUUAGGAUUGUAAAAUUCUUUCAGCGGGACGAUAAUGACGGUACCGCAGAAGAAGCCCGGCUAACUUCGUGCCAGCAGCCGC